CCUACGGGWGGCWGCAGUAGGGAAUCUUCCGCAAUGGGCGAAAGCCUGACGGAGCAACGCCGCGUGAGUGAUGAAGGUUUUCGGAUCGUAAAGCUCUGUUGCCAGGGAAGAACGCUUGRGAGAGUAACUGCUCUUGAGGUGACGGUACCUGAGAAGAAAGCCCCGGCUAACUACGUGCCAGCAGCCGCGGUAAUACGUAGGGGGCAAGCGUUGUCCGGAAUUAUUGGGCGUAAAGCGCGCGCAGGCGGCUCUUUAAGUCUGGUGUUUAAUCCCGAGGCUCAACUUCGGGUCGCACUGGAAACUGGRGAGCUUGAGUGCAGAAGAGGAGAGUGGAAUUCCACGUGUAGCGGUGAAAUGCGUAGAGAUGUGGAGGAACACCAGUGGCGAAGGCGACUCUCUGGGCUGUAACUGACGCUGAGGCGCGAAAGCGUGGGGAGCAAACAGGAUUAGAUACCCCUWGUAGUCA
rnacentral:rRNA from 1 species